rnacentral:misc_RNA from 1 species
CGAUCAUAGCUCAGAUUGAACGCUGGCGGUCUUACACAUGCAAGUCGAACGGCAGCACGGACUUCGGUCUGGUGGUGGCGAACGGGUGAGUAAUGUAUCGGAACGUGCGCACAAGCGGGGGAUAACUACGCGAAAGCGUAGCUAUUACCGCAUACGCCCUUCGGGGAAAGCGGGGGGACCUUCCCGGGCCUCGCACUGUGCAGAGCGGCCGAUAUCGGAUUAGCUGGUUGGUGGGGUAACGGCUCACCAGGCGACGAUCCGUAGCUGGUUUGGGAGGACGACCAACCACACUGGGACUGAGACACGGCCCAGACUCCUGCGGGGAGGCAGCAGUGAAAUUUUGGACAAUGGGGGGAAACCUGAUCCAGCCAUCCCGCGUGUGCGAUGAAGGCCUUCCGGGUUGUAAAGCACUUUUGGCAGGAAAGAAACGGCCACAGGAUAAUACCCCGUGCAACUGACAGUACCUGCAGAAUAAGCACCGGCUAACUACGUGCCAGCAGCCGCGGUAAUACGUAAGUGCAAGCGUUAAUCGGAAUUACUGGGCGUAAAGCGUGCGCAGGCGG